rnacentral:tRNA from 8 species
CGCGGGGUGGAGCAGCCCGGUAGCUCGUCAGGCUCAUAACCUGAAGGCCGCAGGUUCAAAUCCUGCCCCCCGCAACCA